rnacentral:rRNA from 1 species
GAUGAACGCUGGCUACAGGCUUAACACAUGCAAGUCGAGGGGAAACGCCGGGGAAGCUUGCUUCCCCGGGCGUCGACCGGCGCACGGGUGAGUAACGCGUAUCCAACCUGCCUCUGACUGAGGGAUAACCCGUCGAAAGUCGGCCUAAUACCUCAUGGCAUCGUCUGCGGGCAUCCAACGACGAUUAAAGAUUUCAUCGGUCAGAGAUGGGGAUGCGUCUGAUUAGCUUGUUGGCGGGGUAACGGCCCACCAAGGCGACGAUCAGUAGGGGUUCUGAGAGGAAGGGCCCCGACAUUGGAACUGGGACACGGGCCAAACGCCUACGGGAGGCAGCAGUGAGGAAGAUUGGUCAAUGGGCGAGAGCCUGAACCAGCCAAGUAGAGUGCAGGAUGACGGCCCUAUGGGUGGUAAACUGCUUUUAUGCGGGGAUAAAGUGAGGGACGUGUCCUUCAUUGAAGGUACCGCAUGAAUAAGGACCGGCUAAUUCCGUG